rnacentral:rRNA from 1 species
UACGGGGGGGGCAAGCGUUGUUCGGAAUUACUGGGCGUAAAGGGCUCGUAGGUGGCCAACUAAGUCAUACGUGAAAUCCCUCGGCUUAACCGGGGAACUGCGUCUGAUACUGGAUGGCUUGAGGUUGGGAGAGGGAUGCGGAAUUCCAGGUGUAGCGGUGAAAUGCGUAGAUAUCGGGAGGAAUACCAGUGGCGAAGGCGGCGACCUGGGCCAAUACUGACGCUGAGGUGCGAAAGCGUGGGGAGCAAACAGG